rnacentral:rRNA from 1 species
GACGAACGCUGGCGGCGUGCUUAACCCAUGCAAGUCGAACGAAGUGGCGAACGGGUGAGUAAUACGUGGGUAACCUGCCCUCCUUUUUGGGAUAAGCCUUGGAAACGGGGUCUAAUACCGAAUAAAGGGGGCUGGGCUCGCGGCCUCUCAGCUUGUUGGUGGGGUGCUGGCCUACCAAGGCGGUGACGGGUAGCCGGCCUGAGAGGGUGACCGGGCACAUUGGGACUGAGAUACGGCCCAGAGUCCUACGGGAGGCAGCAGGGGGGGAUAUUGCACAAGGGGCGAAAGCCUGAUGCAGCGACGCCGCGUGGGGGAUGAAGGCGUUCGGGUUGUAAAGCAAUUUCAGCGGGGAGGCGUUACCCGCAGAAGAAGCACCGGCGAACUCGGUGCCAGCAGCCGCGGUAAUAC